UGGAGGACAGCUGUUCGUUCCUUUCUUGCUCUGUCACUCCAGCUGGGAUCAUCCGAAGCAUUUACAUCUUGAGACCCUAGACGAAAAUUGAAUUUAUCCUUGGCAGAUCUCUAAAAGAUAUUGGGAAGAAGGGAAGAGAUCUGAGUUUGGGACAGUUUGGAAAAUAUACAAUUAACAGGAAAACCUCCUUUCUUUUAGAAAUAUGACAGAAAAAGAGAUUCUUGAGCCAUCCGCUUCACCCAUAUCUAUAAGGGGGAAAUCUCCAGAAGGGGUUCAUGGAAUUCCUGAAAACUGCAGAGAAUUGAUAAGUUUUGGUAUUAUGAAGACGUUUA
rnacentral:lncRNA from 1 species